rnacentral:rRNA from 1 species
UGGCUACAGAGUGAACGCUGGCGGCGUGCUUAACACAUGCAAGUCGAACGAGAACGGAUUAUAGCUUGCUACAAUUGUCAGCUAAGUGGCGCACGGGUGAGUAAUGUAUAGGUAAUAUGCCUCUUACUAAGGGAUAACAAAUGGAAACGUUUGCUAAUACCUUAUACUCCUUGUUAACAUAAGUUAAUAAGGGAACGAUUUAUUGGUAAGAGAUUAGCCUGUAUUGUAUCAGUUAGUUGGUGGGGUAAUGGCUUACCAAGACUAUGACACAUAACUGGUUUGAGAGGAUGAUCAGUCACACUGGAAUUGAGACACGGUCCAGACUCCUACGGGAGGCAGCAGUGGGAAUAUUGCACAAUGGACGAAAGUCUGAUGCAGCAACGCCGCGUGGAGGAUGACACAUUUCGGUGCGUAAACUCCUUUUAUAUGAGAAGAUAAUGACGGUAUUAUAUGAAUAAGCACCGGCUAACUCCGUG